CGGGUGAGUAACACGUGGGCAAUCUGCCCUGCACUCUGGGACAAGCCCUGGAAACGGGGUCUAAUACCGGAUACUGACCCCCGCAGGCAUCUGCGGGGUUCGAAAGCUCCGGCGGUGCAGGAUGAGCCCGCGGCCUAUCAGCUUGUUGGUGAGGUAAUGGCUCACCAAGGCGACGACGGGUAGCCGGCCUGAGAGGGCGACCGGCCACACUGGGACUGAGACACGGCCCAGACUAAUACGGGAGGCAGCAGUGGGGAAUAUUGCACAAUGGGCGAAAGCCUGAUGCAGCGACGCCGCGUGAGGGAUGACGGCCUUCGGGUUGUAAACCUCUUUCAGCAGGGAAGAAGCGAAAGUGACGGUACCUGCAGAAGAAGCGCCGGCUAACUACGUGCCAGCAGCCGCGGUAAUACGUAGGGCGCGAGCGUUGUCCGGAAUUAUUGGGCGUAAAGAGCUCGUAGGCGGCUUGUCACGUCGGUUGUGAAAGCCCGGGGCUUAACCCCGGGUCUGCAGUCGAUACGGGCAGGCUAGAGUUCGGUAGGGGAGAUCGGAAUUCCUGGUGUAGCGGUGAAAUGCGCAGAUAUCAGGAGGAACACCGGUGGCGAAGGCGGAUCUCUGGGCCGAUACUGACGCUGAGGAGCGAAAGCGUGGGGAGCGAACAGGAUUAGAUACCCUGGUAGUCCACGCCGUAAACGGUGGGCACUAGGUGUGGGCGACAUUCCACGUCGUCCGUGCCGCAGCUAACGCAUUAAGUGCCCCGCCUGGGGAGUACGGCCGCAAGGCUAAAACUCAAAGGAAUUGACGGGGGCCCGCA
rnacentral:rRNA from 1 species